AGUCUGAUGUGAAAGCCUUCGGCUUAACCGAAGAAGUGCAUCGGAAACUGGGAAACUUGAGUGCAGAAGAGGACAGUGGAACUCCAUGUGUAGCGGUGAAAUGCGUAGAUAUAUGGAAGAACACCAGUGGCGAAGGCGGCUGUCUGGUCUGUAACUGACGCUGAGGCUCGAAAGCAUGGGUAGCGAACAGGAUUAGAUACCCUGGUAGUCCAUGCCGUAAACGAUGAAUGCUAGGUGUUGGAGGGUUUCCGCCCUUCAGUGCCGCAGCUAACGCAUUAAGCAUUCCGCCUGGGGAGUACGACCGCAAGGUUGAAACUCAAAGGAAUUGACGGGGGCCCGCACAAGCGGUGGAGCAUGUGGUUUAAUUCGACGCAACGCGAAGAACCUUACCAGGUCUUGACAUCCUAUGCCAACCUGAGAGAUCGGGCGUUCCCUUCGGGGACAUAGUGACAGGUGGUGCAUGGUUGUCGUCAGCUCGUGUCGUGAGAUGUUGGGUUAAGUCCCGCAACGAGCGCAACCCUUAUGACUAGUUGCCAGCAUUCAGUUGGGCACUCUAGUAAGACUGCCGGUGACAAACCGGAGGAAGGUGGGGACGACGUCAAAUCAUCAUGCCCCUUAUGACCUGGGCUACACACGUGCUACAAUGGCCGGUACAACGAGUUGCGAACCCGCGAGGGUAAGCUAAUCUCUUAAAGCCGGUCUCAGUUCGGACUGCAGGCUGCAACUCGCCUGCACGAAGUCGGAAUCGCUAGUAAUCGCGGAUCAGCAUGCCGCGGUGAAUACGUUCCCGGGCCUUGUACACACCGCCCGUCACACCAUGCGAGUUUGUAACACCCGAAGCCGGUGGGGUAACCUUUCGAGGAGCUAGCCGUCUAAGGUGGGACAGAUGAUUAGGGUGAAGUCGUAACAAGGUAACCGUA
rnacentral:rRNA from 1 species